CAAAAUCUAGUAUAUAGAUGGUGACUUAGGGAUGGUGGUUGAUGGGUAAAAUGAUGAAUUACCUGAGUUUAAAUCUGAAACGACUUGGGAGAAAUAAGGCAGCGUUGGCUAAGGGUGAAAGUGAUGCCUCCUUGAUGACCGUCCCCAACACUCCAUCUCUUGUAACCCACUAUUCCAAUCUCUAUGCAUCUCUCUUCUGCAGGGUGCUCUGCAUCAUCAGGAAGGAGUUUCACUUGCAUAGUAAGUGGCUCCUUUUGAGGCUGUCUGGCUGCAUUGGAGAAAGAUGCCACAUCAACAACAUAGGCACACACAAGAGAAAAUGCAGAUUAAGACAAUGAUUCUAAAAAUAAGUGACAACUGUUUCCUCAUAGAGUCCCAUGAUCUCAACCAUUGAUUGAUGAAGUCUCCUGGACUGGAGGGUUUGAUCACUCAAGACUUUAACUUGUGUCUUCACACAAUUUAUAAAGAUGAUAUAUUAGCAGAC
rnacentral:lncRNA from 1 species